CUUUAGCCAUGGCUGGAAAGCCGGCGCGUUAGAAGCGUUUGUCCUCCGUCUCAAAGACGGAUCUGAGGUCUGCGACAACCCGUGUGAUCUGAUCCAGCCUUAGAGUGGGGAUGGCCACGUCCCAGGGCCCCACCAUCCUCUGGAGCCCAAUGGUGAUUGUGGAAGCUGCGGGUGGAGCCCUGCCCCAGGUUUCCCAGUACUCAGUGAAACCUGCCAACCAGGAAGAGGUAAGUGGAGGGUGCCCUAGAAUCACAUUCCUCACUUUCUACAUAAGUGACCUCUGGGACUAUGGUGUCCUGAGACUCUGUGCUUGGGAUUCUCUCUGUCCUUCCAUUGGGUUUCCCUGGCACAUGCUCAGAAUGAAAGGUCCCCACAUCCAUAGCAGGGAUUACAUGGCCGCCAGGUUUCCCUUCAUGGUAACCAUUGGCUGAAGAUUCAGAGGUCUUAAAGGUCCAGUGAUGACCUUACAGGAUGCCUGGAAGCGAGAUGGGUUGAGAAUGCUGAGAAAUGCUCAGGUGUGCAUGAGGUCUGCCGGCUUUAGCAGAAGGUAGGAGCUGGGUAGCACAGCAGCUGAGGGCUGAGCCUGCGUACUGAGAUGGACCUGUGUGAGACAGAUGAUUGGGAGGAGCCCAGGUGAAUUC
rnacentral:lncRNA from 1 species